CAGUCGAGCGAGCUUGCCUAGAUGAUUUUAGUGCUUGCACUAAAUGACACUAGAUACAAGCGAGCGGCGGACGGGUGAGUAACACGUGGGUAACCUGCCCAAGAGACUGGGAUAACACCUGGAAACAGAUGCUAAUACCGGAUAACAACACUAGACGCAUGUCUAGAGUUUGAAAGAUGGUUCUGCUAUCACUCUUGGAUGGACCUGCGGUGCAUUAGCUAGUUGGUAAGGUAACGGCUUACCAAGGCAAUGAUGCAUAGCCGAGUUGAGAGACUGAUCGGCCACAUUGGGACUGAGACACGGCCCAAACUCCUACGGGAGGCAGCAGUAGGGAAUCUUCCACAAUGGACGAAAGUCUGAUGGAGCAACGCCGCGUGAGUGAAGAAGGGUUUCGGCUCGUAAAGCUCUGUUGGUAGUGAAGAAAGAUAGAGGUAGUAACUGGCCUUUAUUUGACGGUAAUUACUUAGAAAGUCACGGCUAACUACGUGCCAGCAGCCGCGGUAAUACGUAGGUGGCAAGCGUUGUCCGGAUUUAUUGGGCGUAAAGCGAGUGCAGGCGGUUCAAUAAGUCUGAUGUGAAAGCCUUCGGCUCAACCGGAGAAUUGCAUCAGAAACUGUUGAACUUGAGUGCAGAAGAGGAGAGUGGAACUCCAUGUGUAGCGGUGGAAU
rnacentral:rRNA from 1 species